rnacentral:rRNA from 1 species
UAGCGGCGAGUGAAGCGGCAAAAGCUCAAAUUUGAAAUCUGGCACCUUCGGUGUCCGAGUUGUAAUUUGAAGAUUGUAACCUUGGGGUUGGCUCUUGUCUAUGUUUCUUGGAACAGGACGUCACAGAGGGUGAGAAUCCCGUGCGAUGAGAUGCCCAAUCCUAUGUAAGGUGCUUUCGAAGAGUCGAGUUGUUUGGGAAUGCAGCUCUAAGUGGGUGGUAAAUUCCAUCUAAAGCUAAAUAUUGGCGAGAGACCGAUAGCGAACAAGUACAGUGAUGGAAAGAUGAAAAGAACUUUGAAAAGAGAGUGAAAAAGUACGUGAAAUUGUUGAAAGGGAAGGGUUUGAGAUCAGACUCGAUAUUUUGUGAGCCUUGCCUUCGUGGCGGGGUGACCCGCAGCUUAUCGGGCCAGCAUCGGUUUGGGCGGUAGGAUAAUGGCGUAGGAAUGUGACUUUGCUUCGGUGAAGUGUUAUAGCCUGCGUUGAUGCUGCCUGCCUAGACCGAGGACUGCGAUUUUAUCAAGGAUGCUGGCAUAAUGAUCCCAAACCGCCCGUCUUGAACCACGGAACCAUG